rnacentral:rRNA from 1 species
AUUGAACGCUGGCGGAAUGCUUUACACAUGCAAGUCGAACGGCAGCACGGACUUCGGUCUGGUGGCGAGUGGCGAACGGGUGAGUAAUGUAUCGGAACGUGCCCAGUCGUGGGGGAUAACGUAGUGAAAAUUACGCUAAUACCGCAUACGAUCUAUGGAUGAAAGCGGGGGAUCGCAAGACCUCGCGCGAUUGGAGCGGCCGAUAUCAGAUUAGGUAGUUGGUGGGGUAAAGGCCUACCAAGCCAACGAUCUGUAGCUGGUCUGAGAGGACGACCAGCCGUACGGGAACUGGUGCACGGUCCAGACUCCUACGGGAGGCAGCAGUGGGGAAUUUUGGACAAUGGGCGGAAGCCUGAUCAAGCCAUUCCGCGUGCAGGAUGAAGGCCCUCGGGUUGUAAACUGCUUUUGUACAGAACGAAAAGGUUUCUACUAAUACUAGGAGCUCAUGACGGUACUGUAAGAAUAAGCACCGGCUAACUACGUGCCAGCCGCCGCGGUAA